AUUGAACGCUGGCGGCAGGCCUAACACAUGCAAGUCGAACGAGCGGCGGACGGGUGAGUAAUGUAUGGGGACUGCCCCCUAGAGGGGGGAAAAUACUGGAAAAUGUAUCUAAUACCGCAUACUAUCGGAUAACCCAUAUGGGAUUAGCUAGUAGGUGGGGUAAUGGCUCACCUAGGCGACGAUGCCUAACUGGUCUGAGAGGAUGAGCAGCCACACUGGGACUGAGACACGGCCCAGACUCCUACGGAGGCAGCAGUGGGGAAUAUUGCACAAUGGGCGCAAGCCUGAUGCAGCCAUGCCGCGUGUAUGAAGAAGGCCUUAGGGUUGUAAAGUACUUUCAGUCGGGAGGCGUUACCGACAGAAGAAGCACCGGCUAACUCCGUGCCAGCAGCCGCGGUAAUUC
rnacentral:rRNA from 1 species